GACGAACGCUGGCGGCGUGCUUAACACAUGCAAGUCGAACGCUAAGGCCUCUUUCGUGGAGUACUCGAGUGGCGAACGGAUGAGUAACUCGUGAGUAACUUGCCUUCGAUUUUGGGUUAACUUCAGGAAACUGGGGCUAAUACAGGCUAGGUGCUCCUGCUGCCCGGUGGGGGUUGGAUAGAUUCGGCGGUUGGGGAUGGACUCGCGGCCUAUCAGUUUGUUCGUGGGGGAGUGGUUUAACAAGGCUAUGGCGGGUAGCCGGGCUGGGCGGGUGACCGGGCACAAUUGGACUGAGGGACGGCCCAGACUCCUACGGGAGGCAGCAGGGGGGAAUAUUGCACAAUGGGUGGGAGCCUGAUGCAACAACGCCGUGGGCGGGAAGACGGCCUUCCGGUUGUAAACCGCUUUCGCUCAUGAAGAAACAUAAUGUGACGGUAGUGGGUAAAGAAGCGCCGGCUAACUACGUG
rnacentral:rRNA from 1 species